rnacentral:rRNA from 1 species
UCGUUUUUCAAUGCAAGUAUUUUUUAUCAUUACCAAACCCAAGUUUUAAUGUAUGUACGAAAAAACUAUAAAACACAAUAAACCUUUCAACAACGGAUCUCUUGGUUCUCGCAUCGAUGAAGAACGCAGCGAAUUGCGAUAAGUAAUGUGAAUUGCAGAAUUCAGUGAAUCAUCGAAUCUUUGAACGCACCUUGCGCUCCUUGGUAUUCCGAGGAGCAUGCCUGUUUGAGUGUCAUGAAACUCUCUCAACUGGGUGUCCUUUCUUUAUUGAGAGGCGCCUGGCUUGGACUUGGACGUAUUAUGCUGGUCUGGCGCCUGAUUAAGUUCGGGUGGCGAUCGAUCGGCUCGUCUUAAAACGAUCAGUAGGUGUGCACAGUCUCUGUUCCGGCUAAACGGACGGGUCUGCUGCCUUGACAUGAUAAGAAAUUGUCGUCGAGGUCGAGCGGGCUUGUCUCGGGACGAAUGGGCGAGCACGAACUGCUUCUAAUCUGGUGUGUUGUGUGGCUACAAGCCAGACGACACACAACCUUUUUAUGAUCGGGCCUCAAAUCAGGUAGGACUACCCGCUGAACUUAAGCAUAUCAAUAAGCGGAGGAAAAGAAACUAACAAGGAUUCCCCUAGUAACGGCGAGUGAAGCGGGAUGAGCUCAAAUUUGAAAUCUGGCAGCCUCCGGUUGUCCGAGUUGUAAACUAGAGAAGCGUUUUCCGUGCCGGCCUGUGUACAAGUCCCUUGGAAUAGGGCGUCAUAGAGGGUGAGAAUCCCGUCCUUGACACAGACCACCGGUGCUAUGUGAUACGCUCUCGACGAGUCGAGUUGUUUGGGAAUGCAGCUCAAAUUGGGUGGUAAAUUCCAUCUAAGGCUAAAUAUUGGCGAGAGACCGAUAGCGAACAAGUACCGUGAGGGAAAGAUGAAAAGCACUUUGGAAAGAGAGUUAAACAGUACGUGAAAUUGUUGAAAGGGAAACGAUUGAAGUCAGUCAUGCGUGCUCGGACUCAGCCGGGGCUUGUCCCUGGUCUACUUCCGGGCGCUGCAGGUCAGCAUCAGUUUUGGGCGGUGGAAAACGGGCGGGGGAAGGUGGCAUCUCCGGAUGUGUUAUAGCCCCCGUUUGGAUGCAUCGCGUGGGACUGAGGAACGCAGCGCGCCCUCUCUGUUGGGGUCGGUCUUUCGGGACACGAACGCGCUAGGAUGCUGCAUAUUUC